rnacentral:rRNA from 1 species
GCAAGUCGAACGGUAACAUUUCUAGCUUGCUAGAAGAUGACGAGUGGCGGAGGGUGAGUAAUGCUGGGGAAUUUGCCUUGAGGUGGGGGAUAACAGGUGGAAACGACUGUUAAUACCGCAGAUUAGCUACGGCUAAAAGGGGGCUUCGGCUCUCGCCUUUAGAGAAGCCCAAGUGGGAUUAGAUAGUUGGUGAGGUAAAGGCUCACCAAGUCAGCGAUCCCUAGCUGGUCUGAGAGGAUGAUC